UGCGCCCGAUGCCUUUUGUCCACCAGGUCUCCUCCGUUUUAGAGGUCGUUUCCUUAGGAAAAAGUCAGCCAGAGCCUUCAGAAGAGGUCACUCCGAAGUCCAAGGAUACUUUAUGGUAAAGCUCAGAGCAGCUGAUCAGAUGCAGGGGAUGCCUGGAACGGGGAACUGAAAUUCUCUUUCUAAUGGAAGAGCUGUACCAGAUAGCCCUAUCUUACAGCACAGCCAUAUAAAAUGUCAGUCCUCAGCAGAGCUAUGUGAAAUUUUUUCUGAUCCAGUGGCCACGUUUUGAACUCCCACCGCUGUCGUCACUGAAAGGAGACAGAAACCAAGCAAGCAGAGAAACUAUUCACCAGGCCUGGAAUGGUGGUAGUCACCAGCAGCACACAAGAAAUCCCCUUUUCCAGAGAUGUCGACCCAUGUACCAGACCCCACUUCCCAAGGAGAGUCUCUGCUGCAGGAAAAAUAUCUUAAUUGGAGAGAUAAGAGGCAGAACAAGCUCUUGCAAUGCGUACAGCAUCUACCAGCACAGACCCUGCGGCAACAAAGCCAAGCAAUGCUUAACCAAGUUCAGCUUUUACUCGACUUCCCAGAUGAGGAUGGAUACCGAUUCCACACGAGAGCCAUAAAGACCAGUGAAUCCUCUCACCCCCGGGAAAGAAAUACUGGUUCUAACUGAGACUGGCUGGAAAUGCACUUAUUUUAACUUUAGUUUUUCCUAGUUGUCUAAAAAGAUCACACUGUACUUGCUUAAACAAAACAUUUAAAAACGCUGUUGUCAUCCAUUCUAUUCCUUCUGUAGCUGGACACUUUGUUGUUUUAUAAUAAAC